rnacentral:rRNA from 1 species
AGCGGCGGAUGGGUGAGUAACGCGUGGGUAACCUGCCUCAUACAGGGGGAUAACAGUUGGAAACGGCUGCUAAUACCGCAUAAGCGCACAGUACCGCAUGGUACGGUGUGAAAAACUCCGGUGGUAUGAGAUGGACCCGCGUCUGAUUAGGUAGUUGGUGGGGUAACGGCCUACCAAGCCGACGAUCAGUAGCCGACCUGAGAGGGUGACCGGCCACAUUGGGACUGAGACACGGCCCAA